rnacentral:ncRNA from 1 species
UUGAGCCGUAUGCGGGGAAACACGCACGUACGGUUCUUAGGGGGGAGUGCGCCGGUAAUGGUACACUCCUACCCUCC